rnacentral:rRNA from 1 species
UGUGGAAUUCGCCCUUGUGCCAGCCGCCCCUUUUAAUACGGAGGGUGCAAGCGUUAAUCGGAAUUACUGGGCGUAAAGCGCACGCAGGCGGUUUGUUAAGUCAGAUGUGAAAUCCCCGGGCUCAACCUGGGAACUGCAUCUGAUACUGGCAAGCUUGAGUCUCGUAGAGGGGGGUAGAAUUCCAGGUGUAGCGGUGAAAUGCGUAGAGAUCUGGAGGAAUACCGGUGGCGAAGGCGGCCCCCUGGACGAAGACUGACGCUCAGGUGCGAAAGCGUGGGGAGCAAACAGGAUUAGAUACCCUGGUAGUCCACGCCGUAAACGAUGUCGACUUGGAGGUUGUGCCCUUGAGGCGUGGCUUCCGGAGCUAACGCGUUAAGUCGACCGCCUGGGGAGUACGGCCGCAAGGUUAAAACUCAAAUGAAUUGACGGGGGCCCGCACAAGCGGUGGAGCAUGUGGUUUAAUUCGAUGCAACGCGAAGAACCUUACCUGGUCUUGACAUCCACGGAAGUUUUCAGAGAUGAGAAUGUGCCUUCGGGAACCGUGAGACAGGUGCUGCAUGGCUGUCGUCAGCUCGUGUUGUGAAAUGUUGGGUUAAGUCCCGCAACGAGCGCAACCCUUAUCCUUUGUUGC